GUCAACCAAGAGAAUGUCAACGUGGGAAAGUGUCAGAUUCUGCACCUGGGGUGGGACAACCUUGGGUGUACAGACAGUGGGGAAUGAGGGGUUGAAGAGCAGUGCUAUGGAAAGGGACCUGGGGGUCCUGGUCCAUGGCAAGUUGAACACGA